rnacentral:rRNA from 1 species
CGGGACACGUGGUAUCCUGUCUGAAUAUGGGGGGACCAUCCUCCAAGGCUAAAUACUCCUGACUGACCGAUAGUGAACCAGUACCGUGAGGGAAAGGCGAAAAGAACCCCGGCGAGGGGAGUGAAAAAGAACCUGAAACCGUGUACGUACAAGCAGUGGGAGCACGCUUAGGCGUGUGACUGCGUACCUUUUGUAUAAUGGGUCAGCGACUUAUAUUCUGUAGCAAGGUUAACCGAAUAGGGGAGCCGAAGGGAAACCGAGUCUUAACUGGGCGUUAAGUUGCAGGGUAUAGACCCGAAACCCGGUGAUCUAGCCAUGGGCAGGUUGAAGGUUGGGUAACACUAACUGGAGGACCGAACCGACUAAUGUUGAAAAAUUAGCGGAUGACUUGUGGCUGGGGGUGAAAGGCCAAUCAAACCGGGAGAUAGCUGGUUCUCCCCGAAAGCUAUUUAGGUAGCGCCUCGUGAAUUCAUCUCCGGGGGUAGAGCACUGUUUCGGCAAGGGGGUCAUCCCGACUUACCAACCCGAUGCAAACUGCGAAUACCGGAGAAUGUUAUCACGGGAGACACACGGCGGGUGCUAACGUCCGUCGUGAAGAGGGAAACAACCCAGACCGCCAGCUAAGGUCCCAAAGUCAUGGUUAAGUGGGAAACGAUGUGGGAAGGCCCAGACAGCCAGGAUGUUGGCUUAGAAGCAGCCAUCAUUUAAAGAAAGCGUAAUAGCUCACUGGUCGAGUCGGCCUGCGCGGAAGAUGUAACGGGGCUAAACCAUGCACCGAAGCUGCGGCAGCGACGCUGAUGCGUUGUUGGGUAGGGGAGCGUUCUGUAAGCCUGUGAAGGUGUGCUGUGAGGCAUGCUGGAGGUAUCAGAAGUGCGAAUGCUGACAUAAGUAACGAUAAAGCGGGUGAAAAGCCCGCUCGCCGGAAGACCAAGGGUUCCUGUCCAACGUUAAUCGGGGCAGGGUGAGUCGACCCCUAAGGCGAGGCCGAAAGGCGUAGUCGAUGGGAAACAGGUUAAUAUUCCUGUACUUGGUGUUACUGCGAAGGGGGGACGGAGAAGGCUAUGUUGGCCGGGCGACGGUUGUCCCGGUUUAAGCGUGUAGGCUGGUUUUCCAGGCAAAUCCGGAAAAUCAAGGCUGAGGCGUGAUGACGAGGCACUACGGUGCUGAAGCAACAAAUGCCCUGCUUCCAGGAAAAGCCUCUAAGCAUCAGGUAACAUCAAAUCGUACCCCAAACCGACACAGGUGGUCAGGUAG